CACAAGUAGGUGUGUUUGAUCAAGGUUGGAGCUAAACUCUGCAGCGCUUUGGCACUCUAGGGCAACAUCUGAGGAACCUGGUGUAGGUUUACCUGCAAAUCACUUUCGGGUCACAACCCAAUAGCUGGGAUCCACUGGCUUACAGUACAUAACCAGCAGACCCAGUACUUAUUACAGUGGCAUCAUUAAACAAGACACGGCACAUCUGGCUAAUGCUACAGACGACAAGUAAGAGCAAGUCUAACCUCAUGAGAGCCAUAGAUAAAGACUUUAGCAGAGGCACUGACCUCCUGCGUAUGGCCUACCUGCGGAACAGCUGCAGUAAUGUCCUCAGUCAGGACACUUACCCAAGAACUCUGCAUUUCCAGUGCACUGCAGUACCAGGAGAUGGAAUGAUCAGGGACUUUUUCCGUGAUCCCAAAGCAUGGUGGUGAGGGGUAGGCAUUCCAAGAGGAUCUGUGUCAGGUCAUCGCUGAUGGAGAACACUCUCUUAAUGAAAGAGAUGUCUUCUUCCUUCACAUCAUAGAUUAAGCUUAUCACCAAUU